CCCUUAGAUGUUCUGGGCCGCACGCUCGCUACACUGACGAAUGCAACGAGCUUAUAACCUUGGCCGAAAGGUCUGGGUAAUCUCCAAAUUUCGUCGUGAUGGGGAUAGAUUAUUGCAAUUAUUAAUCUUCAACGAGGAAUGCCUAGUAAGCGCAAGUCAUCAGCUUGCGUUGAUUACGUCCCUGCCCUUUGUACACACCGCCCGUCGCUCCUACCGAUUGAAUGGUCCGGUGAAGCGUUCGGACCGUGGCCUUUGGACGGUUCGCCGUCUGUUGGCUGCGGGAAGUUCGUUAAACCUUAUCAUUUAGAGGAAGGAGAAGUCGUAACA
rnacentral:rRNA from 1 species